UAUGGCCACAUCAUGUUGAAACACUGGUUCCUGUAUGAUCUCUGAAGAUAAGUAACAUCAAGCAUGAUCAGUAACUAGAUGGGUGACCUCUUGGAAAUUCCAAGUGCUGUAA